GAGUUUGAUCUUGGCUCAGAUUGAACGCUGGCGGCAUGCUUUACACAUGCAAGUCGAACGGUAACAGUGUCUUCGGACAGCUGACGAGUGGCGAACGGGUGAGUAAUGCAUCGGAACGUGCCUAUAAGUGGGGGAUAGCCCGGCGAAAGCCGGAUUAAUACCGCAUAAUACCUGAGGGUUAAAGCGGGGGAUCUUAGGACCUCGCGCUAAUAGAGCGGCCGAUGUUCGAUUAGCUAGUUGGUAGGGUAAAGGCCUACCAAGGCGACAAUCGAUAGCUGGUCUGAGAGGAUGAUCAGCCACACUGGGACUGAGACACGGCCCAGACUCCUACGGGAGGCAGCAGUGGGGAAUUUUGGACAAUGGGGGCAACCCUGAUCCAGCCAUGCCGCGUGAGUGAAGAAGGCCUUCGGUUGUAAG
rnacentral:rRNA from 1 species